UACGAAGGGGGCUAGCGUUGCUCGGAAUCACUGGGCGUAAAGGGUGCGUAGGCGGGUCUUUAAGUCAGGGGUGAAAUCCUGGAGCUCAACUCCAGAACUGCCUUUGAUACUGAGGAUCUCGAGUCCGGGAGAGGUGAGUGGAACUGCGAGUGUAGAGGUGAAAUUCGUAGAUAUUCGCAAGAACACCAGUGGCGAAGGCGGCAUCCUGGACCAAUUCUGACGCUGAGGAGCGAAAGCCAGGGGAGCAAAGCGGG
rnacentral:rRNA from 1 species